UGGGUUGUGGCUCAGUGGUAGAGCGCUUGCCUAGCACAUGCAAGGCCUUGGGUUUGAUCCUCAGCACCACAU
rfam:Ictidomys tridecemlineatus contig044477, whole genome shotgun sequence.